rnacentral:lncRNA from 1 species
UUUUUUUUUUUUAAAAUACACCACUCAGAAACCCUCAAUAUAAGUUUCAUCUGUGUAUCCAUCUAGGUAACGUAUCUAUAGUAGAGGAUGGAUGAAGGACUAUCGCUCCCCUCCUCAGCUGGACAUACGAAAGAAAAUACGAUCAACGGCUCAUGGAUAGGGACAGGGAGAAAUCACCAAUUACUAUCAUGGGCAAACCAGACUUGACUUGGGGAAAUUAGUUUAAUUUAUUACCAAUAAAAUCGGAGAAGGAUGAUGAGAAAUAAAACCAAGUCUUACAAACACCUUCCCUUCACCCCUCCCUUCAUCCUGGGCUUAACUUUACGCCCAAUUUCUCUACCUCCUCCCCUCCCAGCAGCACAGGGGGACAGGGAACAGGGGUUUCGGUCUGCUCAUCACAUUAUUUCUACUGCUCCUUCUUUCUCUUCCAUGGACUCCUCACACUCUUCCCCUGCUCCAGUGUGGGGUCCCUCCCACGGGAGACAGUCCUCCACAGAACUUCUUCACAAACUGCUUCAGUGUGGGUCUGUCCUGUCCACAGGGUGCAGUUCUUCAGGAACAGACUGCUCCAGUGCAGGCUUCCCACAGAGUCACAGCCUCUUUCAGGCAUACCCCUGCUCUGGCAUCCUCCACAGGCUGCAGGUGGGUAUCUGCUACACUGUUAACCUCCAUUGGCUGCAGGAGGACAGCCUGACUCGCCAUGGUCUUCACCACAGGCUGCAGGGGGAUCUCUGCUCCAACACCUGGAACACCUCCUUGCCCUCCUUUGCUGACUUUGGUGUCUGCAGGGCUGUCUCUCUCACAUAUUCUCACUCCGCUCUCUGCUGCAGUUACGGUUGCCCGUUUCCCCCGUGCCCUUACCCCCUUAAAUAUGUUAUCCCAGAGGCACUACCACUGUCACUGAUGGGCUCAGCCUUGGCCAGUGGUGGGUCCAUCUUGGAGCCGGUUGGCAUUAGUCUAUCGGAUGCAGGGGAAGCUUCUAGCAGCUUCUCACAGAAGCCACCCCUGUAGCUCCCUGCUACCAAAACCUUGCCGCACAAACCUAAUGCAAUAGUAAGUGUUGUUUUGUAUGAUCAUGUUAUGAUGUUUGGAAAACAUCUUUAUUCUCAAGUGUUUAAAGGCUUGAAUUCAGAUAUGAUAAACUAGUAGUAAAAGAAAAUGGAUUAAAAAAUUUUAAUGGUCAGUUGCAUUAAAGCUAGUAUAUGGAAAUAGGGAUUGAUCUUAAAAUGGGUUACGAGUUCUCUAUAAUUAAAAUACUCUGAUCAUAAAAAGCAUCUUUUCUAAUGUUGUCUUGCAUUCCUAUGUUACUUUUCACCAGUAAGCUCAAUAAGUACAUUGGGGGUGGCAAGAAGCCCAUUACAGCUGACUAAAUAUGCACGAAUAUUUUAAGUGAUUAAGUGAGUAUGACAAAAAGGGUAUUGUAACAGUCUGCUUAGCUCCUCUUACAUUUCUCUUUUUUCUUCCUCUUUUCACUAGUGCAGGUAUUAACUUGUUCAUAAUAUGUAUAUUACAUUUUUUGCCUAGCAA